CAGUAGCUAUAGAAGUUAGAAUCCGCUAAGGAGUAUGUAAUAACUUACCUACUAAAUAAACUAGCCCUAAAAAUAGAUAGCGCUUAAGCGUGUUACCUAUACCCCGCCGCUAGGGCAAGAUUUAAGCCCUAGUAAGUAGGCAGGCGUAGAGGCUUGUAAUAAAGCCUUAGGGGUAACCCUAGGUAGAAUAGCCUCUAGUGCAGAUCUUAGUAGUAGUAGCAAAUACUUAAAUAAGAACUUUAAGGACUAAAGUAGGGAAAGGUUCUAUAUAAACAGCAGUUAGACACGGGUUAGUUAAUCCUAAGAGAUAGGGUAAUUCCGUUUUAAUAUUAGCGCUUACGCCGCACCCUUAAAAGGGAAGCUAGUUAAUAUUCUAGCACCUAGAUAUAGAUUCUCUAUAGUAAUAUAACUAAGAGCGGAGACCUUAGCAGGAGCCCUAAGAAGAGUUCUCUUUUCUUCUUAAUAGUCUGUUACCCUAAAAUUAGUUUAUCUAGAGCUAGGGUUUAAUAGCUAGAAGAGCGCUGCACUUUUACAGCGUUUAGUGCGCUCCUAACAAGCCUUAAAAAUCUACUUAAAGAAAUAGUUUUUACGCUAGGUCGUACUUAUAACUAUAGUAGGUCUCUAAGGUAAAAAGCCUCUAGUUAAUAGAAUAAUGUAGAUAAGGGAAGUUAGCAAAAUAGAUCUAUAACUUUAGGAAAAGGAUUAGCUCUAAGGGUUAGGUACGUUAGGCCUUAGGGAAAAGCCUCUAGCGCAGAAGGGCACUAGCCGCAAGGUAGGCGCCUUUUAGCGCUAGGGUGCAGACACCCUUAGCAGGCUUCGGCUAUCUAGCGUACGUUUAACAACCAACUUAGAACUAGUAUAGACAAGGGGAAUCUAACUAUCUAAUUAAAAUAUAGCAUUGCGAUAGCUAGAAAGUAGUAUUAAUGUAAUGUAAUUUCUGCCUAGUGCUCUAAAUGUUAAAGCGAAGAGAUUUAACUAAGCGCGGGUAAACGGCGGGAGUAACUAUAACUCUCUUAAGGUAGCUAAAUACCUUAUUAUCUAAUUAGUAACGCGUAUAAAUAGAUUAACAAGAUUCCUACUAUCCCUAUCUACUAUCUAGCAAAACUAUAGCUAAGGGAACGGGCUUAGCUAAAUUAGCAGGGAAAGAAGACCCUAUUAAGCUUAACUCUAGUUUAAUAUUAUAAAAAGAUAUAGGGGGUGUAGAAUAGGUAGGAGCUUUAGCGCUAGUAAAAUACUACUACCCUUAUUAUUUUUUUACUUAUUUAAUAAAGCGGAGCUAGGCCUUACUACCUAACUUCUAGCGUUUAAGGUCCUUUGUAGGCUAAUCUAGGUUAAAGAUAUUAUUAGGUAGGGAGUUUAGCUAGGGCAGCACAUCUAUUAAACUAUAACGUAGGUGUCCUAAGGGGGACUUAUAAAGAACAGAAAUCUCUAGUAGAGCAAAAGGGUAAAAGUCCCCUUAAUUUUAAUUUUUAGUGUAAAUAUAAACUAUAAAAGUGUAGCCUAUUAAUCCUUUAGUCCCUUAAAAUUUAAGGCUAGAGGUGCUAGAAAAGUUACUACAGGGAUAACUAGCUUAUAGCAGCCAAGCGUUUAUAGCAACGUUACUUUUUAAUCCUUUAAUAUUAGCUCUUCCUAUUAUACUAAAGCAGAAUUUAGUAAGUGUUAGAUUAUUUACCUACUAAUAGGGAACGUAAGCUAGGUUUAGACUAUUAUAAGAUAGGUUAGUUUUACCCUACUAAUAACCUUGCCCUAAUAGUAAUACUACUUAGUACGAGAGGAACUACGGUUUUAGAUAAUUAGUUUUUGUGGCUGUCUAACUAGGUAUUGCCGCGAAGCUACUAUCUACUAGAUUAUAGCUAAACGCCUCUAAGUUAGAAUCUAUGCUAGAAUAGGGUGAUUUCUACCUACACUAGUUAGAUACAAAUAGGCCUUUAGCCUAGAACCUUACUAGAUUGGCGUUAGCAGCCCUAUUAAAGUUAGAGUUACUAGCUAGUAUAUUAUAAUUAUAUAGUACGCAGGAUUAAAUCCUUUAUAGACAACUUAGUUGUCUAGCUAGGUCGUGUAAGUAGUCGAGUAGCCUUGUUGUUACGAGCUACUAAGCGUAAGCCCGCCGCUAGCUUAGUUAAAAUUAGGAUAUUAU
rnacentral:rRNA from 1 species